rnacentral:ncRNA from 1 species
CCUUCCGUCGCUACUACCGAUUGAAUGGUUUAUUGCGGUCCUCCGAUUGGACCCGGUCCGGGCGGCGACGUCCGAGCCGGCGUCCGAGAAGACGAUCUAACUUGAUCAUUUAGAGGAAGUAAAAGUCGUAACAAGGUUUCCGUAGGUGAACCUGCGGAAGGAUCAUUA